CAGCGCCAUAGCCAAGCUCGGUCAUGGGCAGUUCAGAGAGAUGGCGUGAGGUCUGUUGUUCAAUCAAUACAUCUUGGCUACAUAGAAAUGAAGAGAGAACCUGCUUCCCCAGCUCCUCCUUGAUCUUCUGGCUAUGGGAUCCUUCAGCUGGCCCUAUGGAAGAUGAGAAUCUGUAAUCCCGGCUACUCCAGAGGCCAAGGCAUGUGGAUCACAGUGUGGUCAAGGCUCACUUGGGCUAGAGAGUGAAGUUCAUGACCAGUCUUGGCAGCUUGAAAAUGAAUUAAGAAGUCUGAGACCGCUCCUGAUCUAAUGAAUCCAACCAGGACAGCAUGCCAGAGACCACAAAUGAAGCACCUGAAGAUAGAUAAUAAACCCGUCCAUCAAAAGGAGACAUCCCAAGAAAAGAAGACGCUGGUGACUUGGGGAGACAACAAGGACACAAUACUACUGGCCCCCAAAUGCUGCUGCUAUGUUUACUGACUAUAUUACAUGUCAGUUCUUAGCUUCCCAAUGCAGAAUCCAAAUUCCUUUUGUCUGAGGUGGUAAACGGCACGCCUGUAAUAGAAGACUCUAUGAUGUUGCUGUGGCUUUAUUGUGGACACGGGAUUGAGUUGUCACCAGGAAAGUUUUCACCAAAUUGCGCUGUGCUUCAACAUGCCUAAAAUAAACCACUCGGGGUCAGACUUCUGAAGUUUGAACCAACACCAGCUACUUAGUCAUGUUGAACCAAACUACCUUCUUCCCUUCCGUGGAUCGUCACUCAGCUGGCCAUCGUGGUCACAGACACCCUGGAUAUAUUUAUGUGUGUGUGUGUGUACAUGUAUGUAUUUGAGUGUACAAGUAUAUAUUUAUGUAUG